UCUGUCCCCCCUGGCCCAGGGCCCACAUAGACAGACAGAGAGAGUGAGACAACAGCUAUGUGGGCCCUGGGCCAGGGGGGGACAGAGAGAGAGAGAGAGAGAGAGAGUGAGACAACGGCUGUCCCUGACCCAGGACCCACAUAGCUGUUGUCUCACUCUCUGUCUGUCUCU
rnacentral:snoRNA from 1 species